rnacentral:rRNA from 1 species
ACGUUUAGUUGCUAACGCGUGAAGGCGAGCACUCUAGACGAACUGCCGUUGACAAAACGGAGGAAGUGGGGAUGACGUCAAAUCAUCAUGCCCCUUAUGUUCUGGGCUACACACGUGCUACAAUGGCCGGUACAGACGGACGCAAAGCCGCGAGGUGGAGCAAAUCCUAAAAAAGCCGGUCUCAGUUCGGAUUGCAGGCUGCAAUUCGCCUGCAUGAAGUCGGAAUCGCUAGUAAUCGCGGGUCAGCAGACCGCGGUGAAUACGUUCCCGGGUUUU